rnacentral:rRNA from 1 species
GACGAACGCUGGCGGCGUGCUUCACACAUGCAAGUCGAGCGGUGAAGCCCCUUCGGGGGUGGAUCAGCGGCGAACGGGUGAGUAACACGUGGGCAACCUGCCCCUAGCACUGGGAUAACCCCGGGAAACCGGGGCUAAUACCGGAUACGACUACCGAGGGCAUCCUCUGGUGGUGGAAAGUUCCGGCGGCUAGGGAUGGGCCCGCGGCCUAUCAGCUCGUUGGUGGGGUGAUGGCCCACCAAGGCGACGACGGGUAGCCGGCCUGAGAGGGUGACCGGCCACACUGGGACUGAGACACGGCCCAGACUCCUACGGGAGGCAGCAGUGGGGAAUAUUGCACAAUGGGCGCAAGCCUGAUGCAGCGACGCCGCGUGAGGGAUGACGGCCUUCGGGUUGUAAACCUCUUUCAGCAGGGACGAAGCGCAAGUGACUGUACCUGCAGAAGAAGCGCCGGCUAACUACGUGCCAGCAGCCGCAGUAAAAC